CCUACGCAUUAUUUCUAAAUGUCGGAAAUGACCACAAAAUCGCAAUCCUCAAGUUUUCCAUACCUUUGUGGAAGAACCAGUUUCUAAACCUAUGACUUCAGCCACCACACCCAUGACCUCCCAGCCUACAGCUCCUUUGCUCACACCAGAGGCUGUUCAACAAAUGAUCUUCUCUGCUUUUUCUCUCUUGGUCUCACAGGAUCAUGUAUCAGGGAAGAUAAUCGCAAAGGGGCCUAAGUGUGGAUGACUCUUUCCUCUUCACUUUCAUGCACUAUAUAGGGAUUUAAGUAUAUUUUCCUUCUUUUAUUCUUCUGUCAAAAAUCAAUAUCAAUUGUGGCAUACCCGGUUAGGCCAUCCAAAUUCGAGGACCCUCCAUUCCAUGCUCAAUUCUAGGUUGAUAAAUAAUAAAAAUCAGAUAUCUAUUAAAGAAGUUUAAGUUGAUUGCGUUAGUUGCAAACUCGACAAGAGUAAAACUCUUCCAUUUCCAACCAAUCAAAUCCCUCUACUCAUUGUUUUCAGCUAAUCCGUAGUGAUGUUUGGGAAAUUUUUUCCGUUCUUUCUCAUGCAAAUUGCAAAUACUUUGUUACGUUCAUUGACGAUUACAACAGGUUUACGUAGAUAUUUUUUUUUUAGAAGCAAAUCUGAAGUUUUUUAUGCUUUUCAAAAAUUCUUGGAAUUGAUUGAGAUCCAAUUUUCCACCAACAUUCAAACUUUACGAUCUGAUUCAGGGGGGAAUACACAUCCAAAGAAUUUCAUAACUUUCUCCAAAAUUCUAGGUUGAAGCUCUGUCUAUUGCUGUCCAUUUGAUUAAUCUUCUUCCUUCAUCUACUAUAGCCAAGCAUUCCUCAUACUUUUGGCUACAUCAAUGUACACCUAAGUACAAUCAUCUUCGACCUUUUGGUUACGCUUGUUUUGUUUUUCGUCCUCCAAAUGAAUGCACCAAGCUUUUUGCACAAUAUGUGAAGUGUGCUUUUCUUGGCUAUGCUCCAAAUCAUAAAGGUUAUUUGUGUUAUAAUCCUUCAUCUAAUCAGUUUCGAAUUUCUUUGGAUGUGGUCUUUUUUUUAAAACCAAUAUUUUUUUCAUUUUCAUGUUAAUCAUUCUCCUCAGUCUCUCGUUUCACUUCCAGAUUUUAAGAAUGAGCCUCGUCCUUCUAAUACUAUUACACAGUUUAGACCUGGUUUUGUGUAUGAAAGAUGAAUGACGCGUGAUGAAUCUGUAGUUGAAGCACUUCUCGCAUCACCUCUAGUACUUGAAUCCAUCACAGUGCCUCCUCUUCGUCAGUCUACUGGCAAUUCUCAUCCUCCCAAACGGUAUGGAAACUCUCCUGAAAGGUACCCUCUUCCUCAUACCUCUUUAGUUGCUAUAUUAUCUUCCAUUUCUAUUCCAACUUCGUACUCACAAGCCAUAAAAUAUGAGUAUUGGCAAAAAGCUAUGCAUGCAAAAUUAAAUGCUCUGCAGAAAAAUGAUACUUGGGAUAUCAUCUCAUGCCUAGCCUCUGUUAGACCAUUGGUUGUAAAUGAGCUUAUUCUGUCAAACUCAACUCAAUGGAUCAUUAGACAAGUAUAAAGCUCAGUUGGUUGCUUUAGGCAAUCGUCAAGAAUAUGGUAUUGACUAUGAUGGGCCUUUGCUCUAGUAGCAAAAAUGAUGAUUGUAGUACACUUAUAGGUAUUGCUACUUCUAUGAAUUGGCCUCUUCACCAGAUGGAUGUCAAAAAUGCCUUUCUCCAUGAGGAUCUCAAAGAAGCCAUCCAUAUGCAACCUCUUCUUUGUGCAUUUCUAGUAUUGCUCCUUCAAAUGUUUGUCACUUGAAACAUUUUUUGUAUGGGCUGAAGCAAGCCCCAUGAGCUUAGCUUGAAAAAUUCAAGCAAACACUUAAGUUAGUAUGAUCAUUCUAUGUUUCUACAUAAAACUUCCAGAGGCAUUGUUAUUUUACUUGUCCAUGUGGACGACAUUAUUAUCGUUGGGACUAAUAGUGUUUUGAGUCAACAACUUCAAGCUUCCCUACAUACCUCAUUCCACAUGAAAAAUCUUGGACACCUCACUUAUUUUCUCGGACUUGAAGUUCACAAAGGUGCCAAAGGUAUAUUUUUCAAUUAGCACAAAUACAUCAAUGACAUCAUUCUCUUCGUUGGAUUACAAGAUUCUGUCCCUGUUGAUACUCCAAUGGAAGUCAAUGUCAAAUAUCAUCAAGAUGAGUAUGAGUUCCUUCUAGAUCGUAUCAACGAUUAGUUGGGAGCCUUGUCUACUUGACAAUUACUUGGCCCGAUAUUUCAUUUGUCAUUCACCUUAUGAGCUAAUUUAUGACUUCACCACAUCAUUUCCAUUUGACUGUCAUUCGAUGCAUCAUUCACUAUCUUCUUGGCUCUCAUUCUUGUGGUCUAUUUUUUCCAAUUGGUUCAAUUUUCAACUUGGUCACUUAUAGUGAUGUCAAUUGGGCUGGUUGCCCCGAUACAUGUUGCUUCCCCACUGGGUGGUGUAUAUACUUGAGUGAUGCGUUGAUUUCUUGGAAGUAUAAGAAACAAGAUCACAUCUCUAAAUUAUCGACGUAGGUUGAAUAACGCGCAAUGUCUUCAGCAUAUUCUAAGAUUACUUGGCUACAUGGUUUCCUCUCUGAACUUGGGUUUCCUCAAACUGAUCCUACUUCUCUCCAUGCAGAUAAAACUAGUGUCAUUCAGAUUGCAGCCAACCCAAUUUUCCACAAGUGCAUGAAACAUAUUGAAGUUGAUUGUCACUUAAUUCAGGAAGCCUUUGACAAACAUGUUAUUACUUUGCAACUAGAAAACUGUUGAUAUCCUCACCAAGGAACUUCCUCGCGCUCGGCAUCAGUUCUUUGUAAACAAAUUGAUGCUCCUUGACUCUUCAGCAUCAAUUUGAUGGAGGGUGUUAAAGAUAUUUAGGAAUCACAUUUAUUGUACAUACUGUAAUUAGAAAGAAUAUUCUUAGGCGAUUAUCUCUAUAACAUAUGCUUAAAUUAUGGAGCUUGAUUAUUGUAAAUAGUUUUAUAUAAGAAGGAAAUACUUAGAAAAUGGCACACACUUUUGACCAAAA